UACAGAGGUCUCAAGCGUUGUUCGGAUUCAUUGGGCGUAAAGGGUGCGUAGGCGGCGCGGUAAGUCGGGGUGUGAAAUCUCGGAGCUUAACUCCGAAACUGCAUUCGAUACUGCCGUGCUUGAGGACUGGAGAGGAGACUGGAAUUUACGGUGUAGCGGUGAAAUGCGUAGAUAUCGGGAGGAACACCUGUGGCGAAAGCGGCUCACUGGACCACAACUGACGCUGAUGCGCGAAAGCUAGGGGAGCAAACAGGG
rnacentral:rRNA from 1 species